UUAUAUACCCUAAGUGAUAUUAUAGACCCUAAGUGAUAUUAUAUACCCUAAGUGAUAUUAUAUACCCUAAGUGGGAUAAGGAUGUCCAUAUGUCUUUCUAAUCUUUGUCUUUCUCUCCAUCUGUAUGUCCGUCUGUCUGUCUGUACAUCUUUAUGUCUGCCUGUCUUCCUGUAGGAGAUCCAGUCUGGUGAUCACCACCAAGCUCUACUGGGGUGGAAAAGCCGAAACCGAGAGAGGACUCAACAGGAAGCACAUCAUUGAAGGUCUGAGGAGCUCCCUACAGAGGAUGCAGCUGGAGUACGUGGAUGUUGUGUUUGCAAACCGGCCCGACAGCAACA